rnacentral:tRNA from 1 species
GGGGAUGUAGCUCAGUUGGUAGAGUGCUUGCCUUGCAUGCACAAGGCCCUGGGGUUCAAAACCCAGCAACACAC